GCUAUUUUUGUGUACUAUUAUUGGUUGUCAUGCAGCUUGCUACAGAUUUCCCCAUAAUUGCAAACACAAGGCUUACUGCAUUUUACAUUUUUUAAAUGUAAUAUUUCAACGUGUUAAAUGAAGCAUAGUGAAUAAAGUCAUGGGAUCUCAAUCAGUCUGCCCUGGCUGAGUGUCUUGAUUCUUGCCCCUUAUAAACCCAGGGAACUUGGCUGCAUUAUAUAACUACUCCAUGCCUCAGUUUCCUCACCCCUAAAAUAGAGCGAAUCAUAGCAGCUGUCUUUUAGAGUUGUGAAAAUUAAAUAACGUAAUACAUGUAGAAUGUUGGCUCUUGACUGGGGGUGAUUUUGCCUCCGGGGGGGACUUCCGGCAAUGUCAGGAGACAUUUUUGGUUGUCACAACCAGAGGGCAGAAGUGUUACAGGCAGCUGAUGGGUAGAGGCCGGGAACACUCUACACUUUCUACAAUGCACAGGACUGUCCCCCACGGCAAAGAGUUCUCUGGUCCAAAAUGUCAGUAAGGCCAAUGUUGAGAAAUCCUGCUGUAGGCUGGGAAGCAGUGUCUGGCACAUGGGAAGUUCUUACUAGAUUUUAGUUAUUAUUUCCUAAGCCUUCCAAAAUCUGUAACCUGAUACUCAAGGAGAAGAGUGAUUACAGCCAACCUGUCUACAUUUCUCUCCUGUUUCUCCUUUAUACAAAGCACGGAGUCUAGCCAGCUGGGCCUAUUCACUGAGCUUUGACUAUGUCAUGCCCAUGCCUAAGCCUGGAUCUUGGUCCCUCUACCUGGAUCUCGUCACCCACGAGACCCAGACUGGAGGACAGCUCCUAUCAGGCAUAUUGCUGGUAUCUUGACAGAGGAAGACAGGAUGCAGAGCCAGAAGAUUCUGUUCAGAAGUGGCACAACAACCAAAAAACAAAACAACUCUUGAUUUCGGCUUAGGUCAUGAUCCCAGGGUCAUGGUAUCAAGCCCCAAGUCGGGUUCUGUGUUGAGCGUGGAGUCUGCUUGAGAUUCAUUCUCUCUCUGUCUCUCUCUCUCUCUCUCACUCUCCCUCUGCCUCUCUCCCCAGCUUGUGCUCUCUCUAAAAAAAUAAAUAAAUAAAUAAAUAAAUAAAUAAAUAAAUA
rnacentral:lncRNA from 1 species